UGCUCGCGUCAGGCAGUCGGGCGACACACUUUCUAGUGUGACGUCAGGAAAGUCCGGACACAGGCCUCCAAUAAGGGGCAGCACGGUAGCGGGUAAUACCCGUCCGCUGAAAAGCGAGAGGUGCGAACAGUGACGCCGAAUCCGAAAGGAGGAGGGUUCCCUCGGGAAUAGUCGCGUCGUAAGAUGCGAAUGAAACGGCUAAAUCCUUACUUCUGUGCAAGGUCGUGUUCGUCGGCGACCAAUUGGAGCUGACGAAAGAACCGCUUGAGGUGGUCGGUAACGAUCAUCCCAGACAAAUGACUGUACUUCGACAGAAUCCGGCUUAUCGACGCAGCGAAGC
rnacentral:RNase_P_RNA from 1 species